rnacentral:rRNA from 1 species
CUAGGAUUAACGCUGGCGGCGUGCCUAACACAUGCAAGUCGAACGGAAUAUCUUCGGAUAUUUAGUGGCGAACGGGUGAGUAAUGUACAGGUAAUGUACCUUCGUACUGCGAAUAACAAGCUGAAAAGUUUGCUAAUACGGAAUAGUUUCCUUCGGGGGCAUCCUUAAAGGAAUAAAGAUUUAUCGUGCGGAGAUCAGCCUGUAUCCUAUUAGUUAGUUGGUGGGGUAAUGGCCUACCAAGACGACGAUGGGUAACUGGUCUGAGAGGAUGAGCAGUCACAUUGGAACUGAGAAACGGUCCAAACUCCUACGGGAGGCAGCAGUGAGGAAUUUUGCGCAAUGGGGGAAACCCUGAACCGCAGCAACGCCGCGUGAGUGACGACGGCCUUCGGGUUGUAAAGCUCUGUCGUGUGUGACGAGUAGGGACGGUAACACACAAGGAAGCCUCGGCUAACUACGUGCCAGCCGCCGC